rnacentral:rRNA from 1 species
GAUGAACGCUAGCUACAGGCUUAACACAUGCAAGUCGAGGGACCGGCGCACGGGUGUGUAACACGUAUCCAACCUGCCCUUUACUCGGGGAUAGCCUUUCGACAGAAAGAUUAAUACCCGAUAUAAAGGAUGGGGAUGCGUUCCAUUAGGUUGUUGGUGAGGUAAAGGCUCACCAAGCCUUCGAUGGACAGGGGUUCGGUGAGGAAGGACACCCAGAUUGGAACGGAGACACGGUCCAAACUCCUACGGGAGGCAGCAGGGAUGAAUAGUGGGCAAUGGGCGUUAGCCGGAACCAGCCAAGUAGCGUGAAGGAUGAAGGCUUAUGGGUCGUAAACUUCUUUUAUAUAAGAAUAUGUAUUAUAUGAAUAAGGAGCGGCUAACUCCGUGCCAGCAGCGGCGGUAAUAC